GACGAACGCUGGCGGCGUGCCUAAUACAUGCAAGUCGAACGCUUUGAUUUUCACCGGAGCUUGCUCCACCGAAAAUCAAAGAGUGGCGGACGGGUGAGUAACACGUGGGCAACCUGCCCAACAGAGGGGGAUAACACUUGGAAACAGGUGCUAAUACCGUAUAAUUUGUUUUUCCGCAUGGAAGAAUAAUAAAAGACGCUUCGGUGUCACUGUUGGAUGGGCCCGCGCUGCAUUAGUUAGUUGGUGGGGUAACGGCCUACCAAGACCAUGAUGCAUAGCCGACCUGAGAGGGUGAUCGGCCACACUGGGACUGAGACACGGCCCAGACUCCUACGGGAGGCAGCAGUAGGGAAUCUUCGGCAAUGGACGAAAGUCUGACCGAGCAACGCCGCGUGAGUGAAGAAGGUUUUCGGAUCGUAAAACUCUGUUGUUAGAGAAGAACAAGUGAGAGAGUUACUGUUCUCACCUUGACGGUAUCUAACCAGAAAGCCACGGCUAACUACGUGCCAGCAGCCGCGGUAAUACGUAGGUGGCAAGCGUUGUCCGGAUUUAUUGGGCGUAAAGCGAGCGCAGGCGGUUUCUUAAGUCUGAUGUGAAAGCCCUCGGCUCAACCGAGGAAGGUCAUUGGAAACUGGGGAACUUGAGUGCAGAAGAGGAGAGUGGAAUUCCAUGUGUAGCGGUGAAAUGCGUAGAUAUAUGGAGGAACACCAGUGGCGAAGGCGACUCUCUGGUCUGUAACUGACGCUGAGGCUCGAAAGCGUGGGGAGCAAACAGG
rnacentral:rRNA from 1 species